UGGGGAUCUGAUUGUUUGCAUUUUGCUGUGUAAUAUGGAUUCUCGGGAGAAUGCAUAGAACUGAUCAAUUGAGUUGAACCAAAAAUGGUUCGGUUUGCAAAAUUUUCUUUUUUGGUUAUUGCUGUUCAGUUUGGAACUGAACUGUCUGAUUGCACAGCCCUACUAUCAGCUAUUAGUAGUCAGAAACAAGUCAACAACUGGACCAAACAGGACCAGUGCCAUCCUUGUACCCGAGGGAGAAUUUAACUGUCUGAAUGUGAUGUGACGUGUAGACCCUUUUGGGCAAAAUCAGAUCCUUCAUGGUGUUAGCCAUCUGAAACAAGAAAAUCACUGAUUUUUUGGAUAAUGCAUGCUUGGGGUUAGAAAAGUUAUCUGAAGGUCAA
rnacentral:misc_RNA from 1 species